rnacentral:rRNA from 1 species
GAUGAACGCUAGCUACAGGCUUAACACAUGCAAGUCGAGGGGAAACGAUAUUGGAAGCUUGCUUCCGAUAGGCGUCGACCGGCGCACGGGUGAGUAACGCGUAUCCAACCCUGCCCAUCACUUGGGAAUAACCUUGCGAAAGUAAGACUAAUGCCCAAUGACAUUUAUAGAAGGCAUCUGAAAUGAAUUAAAGAUUUAUCGGUGAUGGAUGGGGAUGCGUCUGAUUAGCUUGUUGGCGGGGUAACGGCCCACCAAGGCGACGAUCCAGUAGGGGUUCUGAGAGGAAGGUCCCCCCACAUUGGAACUGAGACACGGUCCAAACUCCUACGGGAGGCAGCAGUCGAGGAAUAUUGGGUCAAUGGGGCGAGAG